CCCCACUGAAAAUCGGACUGUUCAACUCCCCUGGCAGCCACUUCCAGAGCCCCUGGAACUCUGGCCCAAGGCUCUCUGACACCUUCCCAGACCUUCUUGGCUUAGCAGCUGAAGACUGACACUGCCCGAUCGCCUCAGAAGCCUAUAGGACCUUCACAGAUGCUCUGGGUAACCCUCACAGUGGAGGGCCUGGUUGCAGUAUGCCUGAAAUUUGGGAUGUAGAAGAUCCUGCCAAUGCUGGGAAAACUCCCUUAUGUAACCUCUUGGUGAAGGAUUCCAAACCUCACUUCACCACUGUAUUCCAGAACAGUGUUUACAAAGUCCUAGAAGUUGUAAAAGAAUGACUGCUACAUGACCUGCUGCCUACGGA
rnacentral:lncRNA from 1 species